AGUGAACGCUGGCGGUAGGCCUAACACAUGCAAGUCGAACGGCAGCACAGGAGAGCUUGCUCUCUGGGUGGCGAGUGGCGGACGGGUGAGGAAUACAUCGGAAUCUACCUUUUCGUGGGGGAUAACGUAGGGAAACUUACGCUAAUACCGCAUACGACCUACGGGUGAAAGUGGGGGACCGCAAGGCCUCACGCGAUUAGAUGAGCCGAUGUCCGAUUAGCUAGUUGGCGGGGUAAUGGCCCACCAAGGCGACGACCGGUAGCUGGUCUGAGAGGAUGAUCAGCCACAAUGGAACUGAGACACGGUCCAGACUCCUCCGGGAGGCAGCAGUGGGGAAUAUUGGACAAUGGGCGCAAGCCUGAUCCAGCCAUACCGCGUGGGUGAAGAAGGCCUUCGGGUUGUAAAGCCCUUUUGUUGGGAAAGAAAUCUUGCCGGUUAAUACCUGGCGAGGAUGACGGUACCCAAAGAAUAAGCACCGGCUAACUUCGUGCCAGCAGCCGCCGUAAGAC
rnacentral:rRNA from 1 species